GAUGAACGCUGGCGGCGUGCCUAAUACAUGCAAGUCGAGCGAACAGACGAGGAGCUUGCUCCUCUGACGUUAGCGGCGGACGGGUGAGUAACACGUGGAUAACCUACCUAUAAGACUGGGAUAACUUCGGGAAACCGGAGCUAAUACCGGAUAAUAUAUUGAACCGCAUGGUUCAAUAGUGAAGGACGGUUUUGCUGUCACUUAUAGAUGGAUCCGCGCCGCAUUAGCUAGUUGGUAAGGUAACGGCUUACCAAGGCAACGAUGCGUAGCCGACCUGAGAGGGUGAUCGGCCACACUGGAACUGAGACACGGUCCAGACUCCUACGGGAGGCAGCAGUAGGGAAUCUUCCGCAAUGGGCGAAAGCUUGACGGAGCAACGCCGCGUGAGUGAUGAAGGUCUUCGGAUCGUAAAACUCUGUUAUUAGGGAAGAACAAAUGUGUAAGUAACUAUGCACGUCUUGACGGUACCUAAUCAGAAAGCCACGGUUAACUACGUG
rnacentral:rRNA from 1 species